CAGGUACAACCUGCCCAUGUGGAUGUUUGAGAGCAGCCCGAGGAAUGCACUGGCAGUUCUUGUGGAAGGUGGAGACACACAUUAGACUCUGCAUUGCGAAGGGUGUGUUGACCUGAGAGAAACUGACAUAAAUAGUAAGAAAAGUACAGAAAGAUACAGGGAGGAACCCCAGUAAUUUUGAGAAAGCACAGAGGGAGAAAUUGACAAAGGCAGGGCGUGCCAGGCUCAAGUCAGACGUCAGCGAGUCGAGGAACCGGUAUGGGCUGCUGCUACAGCACUAGAGAGGAAGGCGAUGAGAAGCACAGAACCAACGGCUGUAAAGAAUGUUGCUUGAAGACCCGAAACUGUCUGCUCAGCCGGGAGUGUUCUCAGGCUUUAAACAUCAGCAGCGUCUGUGCCCAGUGUGGCAUUUGCAUUGCAAUGUGCUGGGGCCCAAUAAGUGCAGCUUUUGGAUCAUGAGUCAAAAGCUGGUAUUUCAGCACAAUGUGUCCAGAGAAUAAAGAGGAAUUCAGUUAAAACAGAAAAACCUUCUUCAUGGAUCCCUGAUGUCUCAACGAUUGAAUGUUUUUCUUCUGAAUAAACACAUUGGUACGCUAUUUUCUACAUGAUAUACAGCAUAAAGUUGCCACUGCCCUAAUAUAGUAUAUCAGACUGAAACACGAAGAUUUAAACGUAAGUGGCAUCAUUACUGUCAUAUGAUUUGUUUUGGAAGUUUUGAAAUUGUGUGGGCUCAAAAUAAGGUUAGUGUUGAUUUUGGUAAACAAAAGUUAAUGCAAGGAAAUUUCCAUAUCAUAUUUCCUGAUAAACUAAACUACAAUGGAUUGUCACAAAGCUGAUAUUUUAUGAAGGGUCUACAGUACGUGUUGUUUUCUGUUCAUGUGUUGUUUCCACGCUGGCCAAGAGAAGCUCUUUUAAUAUCACAGGUUCUUUGUCUCUGUCUUAAUUUAAAUGGGUUUAAAUAAUUAUCAUCUGAUUCCCCCUUGUAAUUCAAUUGGUGUAGCAGCUUCUCACUGGUCUGCCUGAUGUGCUCAGCAGCGGGACUGCUGGAGCAAAAUGUCUGUGAUGCCUCGCCCAGGUGGGGGCUAGUCUUCAAUGGGGAAGAUGACGUGGGUCUCCUCCUAUAUCUUUGAUGAAUGAAAAUCUUUAUAAACACGUAAGGAAACAUUAUUACCUUUUCA